UCAGUGGAUGAAUCUUUGUAUACCUCCUCUUUCUUAGGAUUCCAGGUUUCUAGGAAACUUAGAAGAGCUGUUGCUUCAUUCCUAAAAAAAAGCUUCUCUGAAUGAUUAAUAAUCCAUCCCUUACUACACGUCUGGUUCCUCAGAAUUUGAACAGUCUGCUUUCCUGUCCGUGUGGCUGCUUUUGUCCCACUCAGAACUUGUAACAAACACAUCCAGGUGACAUGGAGAUCAUAUAAAACCUUCUGCAGUCCUUCCAUCCCAGAAAACAAAAUCAAGUUUGGUCUUAAUGGACAAUCAACUACAUGCAACUAAGGAGUGGGAAUGAGGGCCAGGGGGGAAAGCCAUCCGUGAAACAGAAAUGGAUAAAAUUUCACACUCUCAUCUCUCUUGGUUUUGGCAGUGAAUCCAUGGACUUUUUUUCAGUAUGUCAUUUACGUAACUUUUAUUCUGCAGUCAACCAUCUAACAGAUCACUUUGUCCUUCUACAAUUCCUCUUGCAAGAUGCCACCUCUUAAUUUGCCACUUCAUUUGCCAGAACCUCCUUCUUUUCCUUGUGCCAGUGCAAGCGACAUAUUUCUGAAAGUGCCAUAGAAAAAAGGAAUGUAGCCUAGCACAGCUACUGCAGAAAUAGAUGACUAAAGAAAGAGUUGAUUCUUUGAAGAUUUAAAGUCUAAUCACAAAUAA